rnacentral:rRNA from 1 species
UUUAACGGCCGCGGUAUUUUGACCGUGCAAAGGUAGCGCAAUCACUUGUCUUUUAAAUGAAGACCUGUAUGAAUGGCAUAACGAGGGCUUAACUGUCUCCUUUUUCCAGUCAAUGAAAUUGAUCUCCCCGUGCAGAAGCGAGGAUAUUAACAUAAGACGAGAAGACCCUAUGGAGCUUUAGACACCAGAACAGACCAUGUUAAACACCCCUUAAAUGAAGGACAAAACUAAUUGGCCCCUGCUCUAAUGUCUUUGGUUGGGGCGACCGCGGGGAAACAAAAAACCCCCAUGUGGACCAGGAGCACACUACUCCCACAACCCAGAGCCACAACUCCAAGUAACAGAACUUCUGACCAAUAAGAUCCGGCACAUAGCCGAUCAACGGACCGAGUACCC